UACGGGGGGGAGCAAGCGUUGUUCGGAUUUACUGGGCGUAAAGGGCGCGUAGGCGGUCGUGACAAGUCACUUGUGAAAUCUCCGGGCUUAACUCGGAACGGUCAAGUGAUACUGUCGGACUAGAGUACAGAAGGGGCAACUGGAAUUCUCGGUGUAGCGGUGAAAUGCGCAGAUAUCAGGAGGAACACCGGUGGCGAAGGCGGGUCUCUGGGCCGAUACUGACGCUGGAGGAGCGAAGGC
rnacentral:rRNA from 1 species